GCUGGAUGGUAAGGUAACGGCUUACCAUGGCUAUGAUGUCUAGGGGUUCUGAGAGGAAGGUCCCCCACACUGGAACUGAGACACGGUCCAGACUCCUACGGGAGGCAGCAGUGAGGAAUAUUGGACAAUGGAUGGAAAUCUGAUCCAGCCAUGCCGCGUGAAGGAAGAAGGUCCUAUGGAUUGUAAACUUCUUUUGUAUGGGAGCAAUAAGGCCUACGUGUAGGUUGAUGAGAGUACCAUACGAAUAAACACCGGCUAACUCCGUGCCAGCAGCCGCGGUAAUACGGAGGGUGCAAGCGUUAUCCGGAUUUAUUGGGUUUAAAGGGUGCGUAGGCGGUUAUUUAAGUCAGUGGUGAAAGUUUUCGGCUCAACCGGAAAAUUGCCAUUGAUACUGGGUAGCUAGAAUAUGGUUGCUGUGAGUAGAAUGUGUGGUGUAGCGGUGAAAUGCAUAGAUAUCACACAGAAUACCGAUUGCGAAGGCAUCUCACAAAGCCAUCAUUGACGCUGAGGCACGAAAGUGUGGGGAUCAAACAGGAUUAGAUACCCUGGUAGUCCACACUGUAAACGAUGAUAACUAGCUGUUGGCGAUACACAGUCAGUGGCCAAGCGAAAGCGAUAAGUUAUCCACCUGGGGAGUACGACCGCAAGGUUGAAACUCAAAGGAAUUGACGGGGGCCCGCACAAGCGGAGGAACAUGUGGUUUAAUUCGAUGAUACGCGAGGAACCUUACCCGGGCUCGAACGGUGCAGGAAUAUGGCAGAGAUGUCAUAGCUAGCAAUAGUCUGUAUCGAGGUGCUGCAUGGUUGUC
rnacentral:rRNA from 1 species